rnacentral:rRNA from 1 species
CCUACGGGAGGCAGCAGCUAAGAAUAUUCCGCAAUGGACGAAAGUCUGACGGAGCGACGCCGCGUGGAUGAGGAAGGCCGAAAGGUUGUAAAGUCCUUUUGUCGAUGAAGAAUAAGUGUGGGAGGGAAUGCCCGCAUGAUGACGUUAGUCGGCGAAUAAGCCCCGGCUAAUUACGUGCCAGCAGCCGCGGUAACACGUAAGGGGCAAGCGUUGUUCGGAAUUAUUGGGCGUAAAGGGUGCGUAGGCGGUAUUGCAAGCCUGGCGUGAAAUCCUGGGGCUUAACCCCAGAACUGCGUUGGGAACUGCGAAACUAGAGUCAUGGAAGGGGAGUUGGAAUUCCAGGUGUAGGGGUGAAAUCUGUAGAUAUCUGGAAGAACACCGGUGGCGAAGGCGAACUCCUGGCCAAUGACUGACGCUGAGGCACGAAAGUGCGGGGAGCAAACAGGAUUAGAUACCCUGGUAGUC